AAGUCCACUCAGACACGACUCCGCAGCGCCUCACUGCACACCUGCACUACCCCCUUCGCCCGCCCCAGGCUUCCCCGUGGUCGCCGGUACUGCGGACCCCUAAGCAGCGACCUGGUGCAACUCAGAAGAGCAGAGAAGCAGCAUCUGUCAGGCAAACCUUUGACCAUCAGGAGACAGGAGUCUGCGGCCAGAACCGGUACCUCCUCUGAACGCGACAGAGAGGACCCUCACCCCACUCGACGUCGCGGCCCCGCUGCUCGUGUGUGUUCAUCCGCCCUCGGACCAACAUCCCCCAACGUGUCAGCCCAGCGCGUUACCCAGCGCGUCGGGGUCAAGAAUAAACGCUCAUUAAAAGAGCAACUUCAACGGCACUCGGUAAAAUGAUCUGGGUGUUGUUUAUGGACUUUUACCGUUUUUUGAAAAUCUUUAGUUCUUCCUCAGUUUCAAGCAACAGUAACCAUCUUCCCAAGUGUUUUCUGAGGAAAAACUUUUCCCUCCUCUCUCAAAAUAUUCCCAAUGCCUUUUGUGCGGCCGGUGCUGCUGGAAGCACCAAGAACUGAAAAAUGAGUAAGACCAUCUCUGCCCUGGAAGUCGAAUGCUCACAUAGUCAUUUAGUCUUCAGAUGAACGUUUCUAUGUAGUUAAUUCCACGUGUUCCCCAUAUGCCGAGGAAAUAGGCAUCUUUAAAGCUGGCGCCACCACUGUUCCAUGCUGCCUUCAGAUCCAUGCCCACAGUGCAAGUGGAAACUCUUCAUGCGUGUUUGAGUACAUGAAAAUAGCUUAUGUAUUUCCUUCUACUAGUGACAGUGACUCUAAAGUUUAUAAACUGUUUCCUUCUCCACCCCAUUUGCCAUAUUCUCACGAUAUUAGUUAUACAUCCUUGAUUCAACACAGCACAGAAAUAUGUGAGAUGUAUAAAUAUGGGGCUUUAGUCACAGCAAUUCUCAGGGUUUUAUGUAUGAGUCUUCUUAGUUCUCAAAAUUUAGAAAAAAAACGUUUGUUUAUAUGAACAACUUAAAGAACUCGUAUCUUAAGAAUG
rnacentral:lncRNA from 1 species